AUACGUAGGUGGCGAGCGUUGUCCGGAAUUAUUGGGCGUAAAGAGCAUGUAGGCGGCUUAAUAAGUCGAGCGUGAAAAUGCGGGGCUCAACCCCGUAUGGCGCUGGAAACUGUUAGGCUUGAGUGCAGGAGAGGAAAGGGGAAUUCCCAGUGUAGCGGUGAAAUGCGUGGAUAUUGGGAGGACCACCAGUGGCGAAGGCGCCUUGCUGUACUGAGUUUAAAGAAAAGAUUCGAAGGCGAGAGUAGCUAACGGGAUGAAAUACGCCGGGAGUCCUAGCAGAUAACGGUGGAUAAUAGGUGAAGAAGGUAACGACCCCAUGGAUGCCGGAUUUAACGCAAUAAGGACCCCACUGGAGGAGUACGGCCGCAAGGUUGAAACUCAAAGGAAAUGACGGGG
rnacentral:rRNA from 1 species